rnacentral:rRNA from 1 species
AUUGAACGCUGGCGGAAUGCUUUACACAUGCAAGUCGAACGGCAGCACGGGGGCAACCCUGGUGGCGAGUGGCGAACGGGUGAGUAAUACAUCGGAACGUGCCCGGUCGUGGGGGAUAACGUAGCGAAAGUUACGCUAAUACCGCAUACGAUCUGAGGAUGAAAGCGGGGGACCUUCGGGCCUCGCGCGAUCGGAGCGGCCGAUGUCAGAUUAGGUAGUUGGCGGGGUAAAGGCCUACCAAGCCGACGAUCUGUAGCUGGUCUGAGAGGACGACCAGCCACACUGGGACUGAGACACGGCCCAGACUCCUACGGGAGGCAGCAGUGGGGAAUUUUGGACAAUGGGCGCAAGCCUGAUCCAGCCAUUCCGCGUGCAGGACGAAGGCCUUCGGGUUGUAAACUGCUUUUGUAUGGAACGAAAAGGCUCUGGCUAAUACCUGGGGCUCAUGACGGUACCGUAAGAAUAAGCACCGGCUAACUACGUG